CUUUCAAGCGACACUUCCUCUCCUCUUGACCAUUUUUGCUUUCACCCAUCAACAACAUUUUUCUCCGCCAUGAGCUGCUGAUAUGGUUGGCCAUGGUGUUGUCAGCCCGCUUGAUUCUGCAUCACAUUGUUCAGAACACGUCUUCUCUGUUCUCCGCUAGGGUUGAUUCGUUUCCGUUCUGAAUAUGGCGAACUGAGGAAGCUGUGUACAACUCCUUCGUGGAAUGGCAAGGAACCAUACACUGUGCUACAACUUUCGAGUACAAGGUGCUUGCGUACAAUAGGAAUGGCCUUUGUGCGUUGGGAUUUAUGGAUGAUCACUAUUCAGUUCGGAGUGCAUUCUCUCUUCUCAACCAGGUGAAAGUCAGAGCUGUGUGUUUCUGUUUAAUGAAAAAAGCAGUAUAAUUCAAAUGCAGUUGGGAGCAUGAAAGCCUUCGAUGAUGAGCUUCCUUACAUUGUAUGUCUGGACUCUGGAGCAAGUUAAUGUUGGAGCUCUAAUUCGUAGCUUGCCUUGCUUGCAUCAGUUUCAUCUCAUGGCUUUACUAUUCUUUUUUUUUACUAAAACAUUUCUUUCAGAUUGCUUCACCAAAAAUCAUGAUGACAUCAAGUUCAGUUGUCCUUUUUUUACAAAUUAACUAUUACUGGGACCAUUUACACCAAUUUCUUAAAGCAUCCUCUAUGCAACAAGCUUCAUCUUCCACUCCUGGCGAGGAACACAGUUGAGUUUCAGAAGCUCUUCUACCCAAGUCCAGGUGAAUGGUAUCAUGGUAUCAAUAAUGGGAGCCGUUCUAGCUGGAUUCUUAAGGGGCCACUUACAAGAUCCUCUUUUCACCACCUUCAACACACUAAGCAACUUUUUGUCUUCUGAAGACAAUACCUGAGUUUUGGGUUCCUGCUGGUGUGGACAAAUAAGUGAACCUCAAUCCAAAAUUUAGGACUUGAUGACAAAGUGGAGGAAUUUAAUCAGAGCAAUGCUUUGCUAAAGGUUGUUGAGGAUAAGAGUGUUCUUGCUUCAAAUGAUACGUCUGGAGAAGUAAGAAGCACAGUUGAGCAUCUCAAUGAUACUACAUGUGCUGCAGUUUCAUCGUUCAAGAGGAACGGUUCAGUAGAAUCAGCCAAGGCUGAUGGGCUCAAGUCUCAAUGCAGUGGCUAGGGUCGGAAUCCGAGAUGAAUAUCGGGGAAUCCUUUGUGAUCUUCAUUGGAGCUUUUUGGUUUUCGCUCGGGAUCCAGAUGGUGUUCUAUUGAAGGUCGAGAUUUAAUCUCCCUGUCACAUUGAAUUGAUAUUUAUCUGAAAAGGAAGAGCCUUUCAAAAAGGAGUCUCAGGUCGCAUCCAACAAGAAGAAGCCCCAAACAUGGUGAAUGUAUGUAUUUUAAUAUGAGAUUUCGCUUGGUUAAACUUCUAACUUCUUUUACUAUAAUUUUGUGUAGAAGCCUCUUAAUAAAAGUGAAGCAGUUGUUGCUUCUAAUGUGCUGGAUAAUAGUUUGGCUUUAGAUCCAACCCUCAGUUGUUACACAAUGUUUAAUUUUAUAUUUUAGCAGGAAAAAUAUUAAGGGAUAAUAACAUGAUAGUUAGUGAUCAUAA